GGGAGGGUAGCUCAGCGGUAAGAGCAGAGGUCUCAUAAACCUUUGGUCACGGGUUCGAAUCCCGUUCCUCCCA
rnacentral:tRNA from 1 species